AAUUGAUUCAGCUUUUUGUAUAAAAUCCUAAAAGGGACUCUUUGGUGCAUCAAUCUUGAAAUGAUCUUCUUAGGAUGAUCCGAACAAGGUUUUCCAUCCACUUGAUUGACUCAUUUUGAUGUGUUUUUACUUUUAAUUUGACAAGUUGAGUUCAGUUCUAACAUCACUCCUGAAGAAGCUCUCACGAGCGAAACAUGUAGAGAGAACUGCAACAAAUUGUUAUGUGAACUGAAGUUUCCAUGUUAUACACUUCAGCUGGUCUUGUAUUGAUUU